CAAUAGCGUAUAUUAAAGUUGUUGCAGUUAAAAAGCUCGUAGUUGGAUUUCGGGAUGGCCCGGCCGGUCUGCCGCAAGGUAUGUUACUGGCCGAGCUGUUCUUCUUCGCAAAGACUGUGUGUGCUCUUAACUGAGUGUGCUCAGGAUCUGUGACGUUUACUUUGAAAAAAUUAGAGUGUUCAAAGCAAGCCAGCGCUUGAAUACAUAAGCAUGGAAUAAUGGAAUAGGACUUUGGUUCUAUUUUGUUGGUUUCUGGAACCUUAGUAAUGAUUAAGAGAGACAGUUGGGGGCAUUCGUAUUUCGUUGUCAGAGGUGAAAUUCUUGGAUUUACGAAAGACGAACUACUGCGAAAGCAUUUGCCAAGGAUGUUUUCAUUAA
rnacentral:rRNA from 1 species